UACGUAGGUGGCAAGCGUUGUCCGGAUUUACUGGGCGUAAAGAGCGCGCAGGCGGUCGUUCAAGUCGCGUGUGAAAGCCCCCGGCUCAACUGGGGAGGGUCACGCGAUACUGAUCGACUCGAAGGCAGGAGAGGGUAGUGGAAUUCCCGGUGUAGUGGUGAAAUGCGUAGAUAUCGGGGAGGAACACCAGUGGCGAAGGCGACUACCUGGCCUGUUCUUGACGCUGAGGCGCGAAAGCUAGGGGAGCAAACGGGG
rnacentral:rRNA from 1 species